AAAUGAUCGCCUGUACUGGUAACGGUACAGUAAAAUUCAACUAAUAACGGUGGAGCCCAAAAAUAGUACUUGAACUUCGGGUAUCUUUCGGGAUAAACUAGAAUCAUGUACAUAUCGGGUAAUACCGUGGGAAGUCUAAUCAUGACCCCGUAACGACUGAUAUGGAAGGUACCAGAUAAUCUGGGAUAAUAAACUUCCAUUAUAUGUUGACCCCUAAUUCCAAAAUUUUCGGAAUGGGUGAAGAUAUAGUCUGAUACUCAGAGGGAUCUGAGAAAACACUAUGACGGGCCAUACACCUACGGGUGGCAGCAACUGGGAAUAUUCGGCAAUGGGCGAAAGCCUGACCGAGCGACGCCGCGUGGAGGAUGAAGGUUUUCGAAUUGUAAACUCCUUUUGUAAGGGAAGAUUAUGACGGUACCUUACGAAUAAGCCGCUGCUAACUACGUGCCAGAAGCCUCGGUAAUACGUAGGCGGCAAGCAUUAUCCGGAUUCAUUGGGCGUAAAGUGUUGCGUAGGCGGAAUGACGCAUUCUGUUUGAAAGCCCGUGGCCUAACCACGGAUUUGGACAGAAGAUGGUUAUUCUUGAUUGUUUGGGAGGAUGUUGGAACCAAUCGUGAAGCAGUGAAAUGCGUUGAUAUGAUUGGGAACGUCAAAGGCGUAGGCAGACAUCUAACAAACUAAUGACGCUUAGGCACGAAAGCUAGGGGAGCGAAACAGAUUAGAGACCUGUGUAGUCCUAGCCGUAAACGAUGGAUGCUAGAUAGCCGAGCAAUUGGCUGUCGUAGCUAACGCGUUAAGCAUCCCGCCUGGGGAGUACGAACGCAAGUUUAAAACUCAAAGGAAUUGACGGGGACCCGCACAAGCAGUGGAGCGUGUGGUUUAAUUCGAUACAAAGCGAAACACCUCACCAGGGCUUGACAUGUAUCUGCAAAUCCCGUGAAAGCGGGACUCCUUCGAGGGUGAUACACAGAUGCUGCAUGGCUGUCGUCAGCUCGUGGCGUGAAGUUUGAAAAAAAACUUUCUCGCGCCCUCUAGUAGUGAUAUUAGAUGACAAAAUUCGGCUCAUAUCGGUGAACUCCUACUUGAUUUACGGGUUACUUUCGGGUAAUCUGAGAUUAAGGGAGAAUACCGAGGGAAGUCGGGAAGUAUGAUAUUCACUGCUCGUAAAAACUUAAAGCUUGAAGUUUCUGAUAAACAAAUCCAGAUUCUUAUUGGUUGUUUAAUAGGAGAUGCCUAUAUUACAAAAUUAGGUAAAAUCCAAAUUGAACAAUCGGAUAAGCAAAAAGAUUAUAUUAACUGGAAAUAUCAAGAAUUAGCCUCGAUAAGUUACUCUGGACCUAAAGAAGUUAUACGAUUUGAAAAGUCGGAUAAUCGAGUUACAAAA
rnacentral:rRNA from 1 species